GCAAUAUUAGUUUAUAAAAAAAUGACAGUUUGUCUCACUGUUGAAGAUAAUUUAUCAUGUUGCU
rnacentral:tRNA from 1 species